CGAUUUGGAGGUUGUGCCCUUGAGGCGUGGCUUCCGGAGCUAACGCGUUAAAUCGACCGCCUGGGGAGUACGGCCGCAAGGUUAAAACUCAAAUGAAUUGACGGGGGCCCGCACAAGCGGUGGAGCAUGUGGUUUAAUUCGAUGCAACGCGAAGAACCUUACCUACUCUUGACAUCCAGAGAACUUUCCAGAGAUGGAUUGGUGCCUUCGGGAACUCUGAGACAGGUGCUGCAUGGCUGUCGUCAGCUCGUGUUGUGAAAUGUUGGGUUAAGUCCCGCAACGAGCGCAACCCUUAUCCUUUGUUGCCAGCGGUUCGGCCGGGAACUCAAAGGAGACUGCCAGUGAUAAACUGGAGGAAGGUGGGGAUGACGUCAAGUCAUCAUG
rnacentral:rRNA from 1 species